rnacentral:rRNA from 1 species
CGAAAGCGUGGGGAGCGAACGGGAUUAGAUACCCCGGUAGUCCACGCCGUAAACGUUGUGUACUAGGUGUUAGUGGCUUGACCACUAGUGCCGUCGCAAACGCAUUAAGUACACCGCCUGGGGAGUACGUCCGCAAGGAUGAAACUCAAAGAAAUUGACGGGGGCCCGCACAAGCGGUGGAGCAUGUGGUUUAAUUCGAUGAUACGCGAAGAACCAUACCUGGGCUUGAACUGUACUUGAUCGGUGUAGAGAUACACCCUCCUUCGGGCAGGUGCAGAGGUGCUGCAUGGUUGUCGUCAGCUCGUGUCGUGAGAUGUUGGGUUAAGUCCCGCAACGAGCGCAACCCUUACCCCUUGUUGCCAUCAGGUAAUGCUGAGCACUCUAGGGGAACUGUCGGUGAUAAACCGGAGGAAGGUGGGGAUGACGUCAAAUCAUCACGGCCCUUAUGUCCAGGGCUACACACGUGCUACAAUGGCCGGUACAAUGAGUUGCGAGACCGCGAGGUGGAGCUAAUCUCAAAAAACCGGUCUCAGUUCGGAUUGCAGUCUGCAACUCGACUGCAUGAAGCUGGAAUCGCUAGUAAUCGCGGAUCAGCACGCCGCGGUGAAUACGUUCCCGGGCCUUGUACACACCGCCCGUCACACCACCCGAGUUGGCAGCACCCGAAGUGGCUGAUCUAACUUCGUGAGG